AGAUGUGGGGGCGAUUUGGCUCCAACAUUUGACCCCCCAUUGAUCACCAGGGUUGAUUUGGCUGAUAUGGCUGGCUAGGUGGGUGUCUCCUUCCUCCCUCACUGUUCCAUGUGCAUCCCUUUUGAAGCUGUGUGCGCCAUAAAAAAGGACGAACUCCCCGAUAGAGGACCAUUUCCUCAGUCAAGAGUAUGCGAGUAGCUGCGCUCUCCUGCUAGAACCUCCAAACAAGCUCUAAUGUGGGUAUUUACAAUUAUAAACUUCCCUUUUAGGACUGCUUAAAUUGUGUCCCAUAGGUUCUGAUGAUGUGUUGUGCUGCCAUUAUCA
rnacentral:snRNA from 1 species